ensembl:lncRNA
UCAGUUGCAUUUCUGAAUGUCAUUUAAAACAGUAUUCAUAUAUUUUUCAGAACAAGAAAAGACAUAUCCAGAGAAUAAGGAGUCCCUUACGGUACACCCGCCCCUAUCAGCCAAGGUUUGAAGGGAAAAACCUGCAUUCACGUUUCAGGUUUUUCAGGACUAUGGAGGAACAGCGUUUUAUACGGCGCCCAAAUUUUGCACUGAGGUACCAGAGGCAUCAUACAUAUCAGUGGUCCAGUCUACAGCUAAGGCGUAAGCCCAGAGCCUCUCCUCCUUCCAGACAGCAGUUCCACAAAGGCCUGAACAAGAAUAGCUCCACGGCACAUAUUGAACCCGGCAGAACAGACAUUUCUCGGCCAUCCUCUGGAAAAAGAUCAUCAUUGCCAUCUAC